UGCCAGGCAGCCUGGUGGGUCUGGGUGUGUAAGUCUGGCUGAGACCAUCGGGGCAGGCCGCGGGCCUCGCGUCACAGCAGAGAGGGGAUCUGCAAUCCGACGGAGGUCAGCGCAGAGCAGAAAUGCAUCUGGACAACAGAAGCGCCCGCGACAGCGGGGGUGCUGCGCAGAGAAGCAGCCUAGAAAAGAGUCAGCAAGGGGCCUGGCUGCCCCCACUCUGCGGCUGAGAAAGCAUCCAAAGAGCACAGGACCAGAGGCGUCUGAGGUCACAGACCUCACGGAGGAUGUGGGACUUGGGACUGAGAGCAGAGCCUCAGCCCCCAGAGAGCCAGCGACUUCCUGUGCAGGUGCAACAAUCAGUGAUUCUCAAACGUAUUCUUAUCAGAGCGGAAUGAGACCUGCCACACUACAACACGCAGAUCACUCCUCCCAACAAGGAAGCUUCACGUUGGUGGGGUUGCCAGAUAAAAUGCAGGGUGCCAAUUAAUUUGAAUUUCAGAUCAGUAACAAAUAGUUUUUUAUUUGAACUUCAAAUUUAGCUGAACGUCCUGUAUUUUCAUUUGCUACAUCUACAUUCUGGAGACUGAAGGGCAGCUCUGCAACAGACAGACCUGGGAUCAAAUCUGAAUUCACGGAUGUAGUAUGGAAACAACUUUGAGCAAAUUGCUUGACUCUCACUGAGUUUCAAUUUCCUCGUCUAUCAACAAACCUGCCUCACCCAGCGUUUACAAGGCUUUACUGAGUGAGGCUGUGUGAGAGCACUUGGCAGAGCACCAGAGGGCUGGAGCCAUGGGAGACUGGCAAGAACACAUUAAUCCGCCUUCCUCUCCUUCUGAUGCUGCAGGUCUGAUCUCUGGCUGAGACGCUGAAAGCCAGUUUUCAUCUAGGAUAAUUAGGAUCAGCCUUGAGGGCAAUUGAAUUAAGGAAAUAGAAUUAUAUUUGAACAUCACAUUCCCUGGAUCAAUGAUCUAUUGCCACAAUAAUGCCGUGUAACAAACAACCACAAAACCUGAGUGGCUUUCAACAGUUAGCAUCUAUUCUUGCUCAUGAGUCUAGGGGGUGGCUCAGCAACUGUACCAGCGUGAGCCGGGCUGGUGGGGUUCACUUAUGCAUCUGUGGUCAACUCUCAGGUCAGCUGGGGACUGGCUGGUCUAGGAUGGCCUCAGCUGGGAUGACUUGGCUCUGAGCUACAGGGUCUUUCAUUCUCCAGUAGGCUGGCCUGGGCCUGCUCUUAAGACAGGGAUAAAGGCCUGAGAGAAGCAGCAGACAUGUGCAAGUGCUUUUACAAGACCAUUUGCAUCAGAUUUGCUAUUGUCCCACUGGCCAAAGCAAGGCAUGUGGCCGAGGUCAGAUUAGGUUAGAGGUGCAUGACCAAAAGGUAUAAAUAUAUAGAGGCAUGAAACAAUGGGUCCAUUAUGUGAUUGAUCUACAAUGUCCAAUCCAUUGAACUUAUAGAGUAACAUUUGAAACGUAGGAAGUCAAUGAAUGAAGGCAUGAACAACAUGGUAGACACGUGCUGAGAGGUCUGUGCUCCCCUCAUCUCUGGGAUCCACUCAGUCCUUCCACAGGGGUGGGUUCCUGGCAGCUUAUGCUGUGUGACCCCACACCCUGGUUUUGGCUGGCCAGCAAAGGGGGAACCCCUGACACAAGCUGACCUGGUCCCAUUCUCUUUCUGGAAUUUGGAAAUGGAAGAAGAGAGUUGAGUCGGCACCUCCGUGUGGCAGAACCUGCAACGUGGAAGCUUGGGCGCUUUGGGGAGGCUGUGUUUCCCACAUCAACUGAGGAGCGGAAAGAAACAGCCAGUCUCUCAGCCAGUAGAGAGAGACAAAUGAAGUAAACGCUGCAUAAAUUUCCUACUGAUGCUGUAACAAAUUACCAUAAACUUAGUGAUUAUGCGAG